AGCGCGUGUGCCUUUGCUUUAUACGGCGUGUUUGCGUGCGCGUGUGUGUAUAUAUAUUAUUUACGCGCCGUGGACAAGCGAGACCCGUGACGAGAAUCAGGAGGCGUAGAACAAUCGAGGCAAAAUGAAACAUACGCAACAAAUACAAGAUGCAAGAGCAUCUGAUGCAUAAACGUAAAGGCAACGACACACGAUAAAAUAAAGUGACAAUGCUAAGCGACGGAUUGACCCUUAAACCGAUCGACUGUCUCCGACGAGGGUCAAAAGACAAACGACCGACAGGGGAACAAGCGUGAAGUAGCAGAGGAAUGUUUCACAGAACGAGAGGACAACGCCGAGAAAAUCCGUUGGUCGUCCGAAAGAAAAGCGGGAAGAGGAAACGCUGUCCUUUGAGCGCCAGCAUGAGAACGCGUCGCCGAGGGAUCGAGUGCCCGGUCGGUUGCGUGCCUCGAAUGUAAUUACCGCGAGGUUUCGGGAGCGGGAUCCGUCGUUGCUCGACGUAGAAUUUUCGCGUCGGUCCUGCCGCGAGGCUUGUCUCAUUGUUCGCGAAUAAUGGCUCCGCGGUACACGCGUGUCGCGUCGAUUAUGUCACGUACCGCCACGCGUGGAAUGCAUACAAACAAAAGCGUCCGCAUCCUCUCUCCCUCUCGCCACCUCCGCGAGGCUUCUCGAAGCAACGGCCGUUUCCAUCGGGGUCCCUUGCUGCAGCGAGCUAGCAAACGUUCUCACCGUCACGAGCGAGCCACCGAGCAGCCAAACGUGAGAAAGAGGAAGUCGUCGUCGUCGAUCCCUCGGGCUUCGAUGGAACGCGAGGACUAACAUCGGCGAACCAGCCCGGCGACAUUUAACGCGCCCUGAAAGCCGAUGAGCCGCCGAUUUCUGCCCCCCGGAUGCUAAAACGGCCGCCGGUCGGUGCCAACUGGCCCUUUCCGAUCUUCUGGCCGACAAGGGAAGUUCGAUAAUCCGAAAAUACCGACUCUUUUGAAAUUUUGCAAGUUUGGGGGCCUUAAAACGGCUUAAAAGAAGUUUUCAAGCAUUUUUAUUGUCGGACCAAAUUCGUUUCUUCAGAGUUGCAAUUGUUCAAAUCCACGUAUCAAAGAAUCUUUUCCUUAAAAAUUAGCAGGGACCAUAAUCGAAAGUCAAAUCUGACAAGAGUGCAGACGAAUAGCAGGUCACAAAUGACCUUUUUUGAUGAAUUUCUCGUGAUCGGUCGUUUUCGUCCUCAGACUGUCUCAGAUUUUUUAGUAUCAAGCAGCAUAAUAGUUGGAAGACGUAGAGGCCGUAAAUUCGCCAAUUUUCUCAGUCUCCUAAUUAAGCAAACACGAAUAAUCUUGGCCAGUUAAGUCGACCAACUGGGCCGUCAUGGAACAGAGAGAGCAAGAGGUCAAGAGGAGCUGAGCUGCGAAUGUCCGCGGAAAUUGGAUGAUUAGCUUGUUCUUUGGUCGCGCAAUUACCGGCCAGGUUGUUCGGGCUUUUUCACUUUUAUUCUCAUUGCGGAGGGCCGGUGGACAUCGAGCUUUAUGCGGUCGGAAGGUCUAAGCGAUUGCUGGGAGUGGGUCAAGUGCUUAUCCAGAGCUGUGCGACCUUUGUGCAGAAAUUAAAGCUCUUGGGCGAAAGCGGCGCGGUCCAUUGUCGCGGGACAUUAAUUACAACGUCUUGCACGCUUCCAGUUAACUAUCGAAAUGAAAUCUUGACAAUUUAUUGCUGCCGCGGUCUACGUUCCCCGGUGAACGCGAUGUUAAUUUUCCUCAAUUAAGGCGUAAAUUCAAAUUUCUUUUUCCGAGAUCGCGACGCGAGUUCGCGCAACAACCGCACAGCUACCGAGGUUAGACUCAAUUACACGGAGCUAUUCGAGAUACAGUGAACCAGACUCGGUUGAUGAAUCAGGUAGGGUACUGGAUCAAGUUAUGCGUCGUAGGAGGACGGAUUUACAAGCGCGCUGCCUCAAUUAGGAGCGUGUAAGGAGCGCACGUAUCUCGGGUGGAUGUGAAUUGUAUAAUAAUUGCGGGGUAGAAUGCACGAGAAACGAGAUCGGUAUCUGCUGGCGCGAUGAAGAGGAAUGGCUAACGAAGAUUGUCAGCGGAGCGGGCCGAGACACGCUCGACGAGUGCCGCGAUUCAUUACAGGCUUGCCUUUCGACAGAAAAACCUGACACCGUGGUGGCGAGCGUCUUUAUGCGAGCGUCGAAAUCGGAAUCGCAAAUAGUUUCACCUCAUUACCGUUCUUUUACAUACACGGCGUAAUAUAAUGGAUACUUCUAUUCUAAAAUCGUUCUAUUAACAGUCCAAGUUCUAGUAAUAUCUCAAGGUUUUCAAUUUACGAUUGAUGAGAUUGUAAAGAUGCGUCUGUGGGUAAUUUAUUUCAUAACAUUAGCUUUAUUUGGACGUAUACAGAAAAUGUAUACGAUACAUCUAUUCUAAAAUGGUUCUAUUAACACUCCAAGUUCUAAUAAUAUCUCAAGUUUUUCAAUUUAUAAUUGAUGAUUUCAUUGAGAUGUAAUUUCAUCAACAACUUUAUUUUUCUUUGGACGUAUACGAUGAUAAAAACCAAUAAAAAUCCUGAUAAAUAAAUCUUCA